rnacentral:lncRNA from 1 species
AAACAACCCCCCUGUAUAUGCAAGGGCUGCUGACAAAGGCAGAGAAACCAGUCAUUGGUCAAAGGUCCCGAGGAGAACAAGAGGUGCCUCGAAAUGGAUGUUCAACGUCUGGAAAUCCCUGCUGAACUUGCAGCCCUCCUCCGCUUGGCAGCUGAAGGUCAGCACUAUGCCCAGAAUAACCAAGUCACAGAGGUUUCUCCUCCAGAAGUCAAAGCAAAGGUUGAUCUUUAUCUGCCAACCGAUAUCAAUAACUUCCCAUUCUCUUCUUUCAUGCGGUCCCACUUUCAGGUAUGAAAAUGUUGCUAGAAGUGGAANGCUCCCAAGAAAAACCUAUGGCCUUCUCUCCUUCCCCUUGUCCUUCCAUAUAAUUAUAUAAUGGU